UUACCUCUUCCAGAGUAUCUAUUGGAGGGCAAGUCUGGUGCCAGCAGCCGCGGUAAUUCCAGCUCCAAUAGCGUAUAUUAAAAUUGUUGCAGUUAAAAAGCUCGUAGUUGAAUUUCUGCUGCAUUGCUUUUGCUCCUUUACGAGUCUUUGCAUUGUGGCUUAUUUCGGACUUUGUUUUACAUUGUCCGGAUGUUUACUUUGAGAAAAUUAGAGUGCUCAAAGCAGGCUUUCGCCUUGAAUAGUUUAGCAUGGAAUAAUAAAGUAGGACUUUGGUUCUAUUUUGUUGGUUUUAGGUACCAAAGUAGUGGUUAAUAAGAACAGUUGGGGGCAUUCCUAUUUAACUGUCAGAGGUGAAAUUCUUAGAUUUGUUAAAGACGUAACUACUGCGAAAGCAUUUGCCAAGGAUGUUUUCAUUAAUCAAGAACGAAAGUUAGGGGAUCGAAGACCAUCAUAUACCGUCCUAGUCCUAACCAUAGACUAUGCCGACUAGAUAUUGGAGGUCGUCGAUUUUUACGACUCCCUCA
rnacentral:rRNA from 1 species